ACACUCUGGUUUCUCUUCAGAUCAUAUAAAUCUUUUUCCCCUUACUAAAGAUUUUCUUGGAGAAGAACAGACAUAAGAGUUGGGGAAUAUAUAUUGUGAAAGAGCAAUUCAGUGAAAUC
rnacentral:snRNA from 1 species